rnacentral:rRNA from 1 species
UACGGGGGGGGCAAGCGUUGUUCGGAAUUACUGGGCGUAAAGGGCUCGUAGGUGGCCAACUAAGUCAGACGUGAAAUCCCUCGGCUUAACCGGGGAACUGCGUCUGAUACUGGAUGGCUAGAGGUUGGGAGAGGGAUGCGGAAUUCCAGGUGUAGCGGUGAAAUGCGUAGAUAUCUGGAGGAACACCGGUGGCGAAGGCGGCAUCCUGGACCAAUUCUGACGCUGAGGAGCGAAAGCCAGGGGAGCAAACCGG